GCAUUAAUGGGGUAGUGGUAACCUGGGUCGUUGCCAUGUCGAUGUCGAUCCAUAGACGAUCUUCGACCCGCCGGGGGUUCGAUUCCCCCUUAAUGCA